rnacentral:lncRNA from 1 species
AAAAAACCACUCCUAGUAAAAUUAUACUUUUUGUUUUUGGAAACAUAAAAUCUAUUUGAGAAACAUAACCAAACUCCCAUUAAUAUACUUUCAUGACCUAUAAUGAUCUGUUAUGAGCUUGUUUCAUCGUUUGAGUCCCUGAAUUAUAACAUAACCUAGCUCCCAUUAAUAUAAUUUCAUGACCUAUAAUGACCUGUUAUGAGCUUUUUUCAUCGUUUGAGUCCGUGAAUUAUCAUUGAUGAAAUAGAUAGAGGCCUCCAGUUAAACAGAGCAAUGAUGGCAGAAAUGAAUAGUUCUGGAAUUUUGCAUACUUGUCCAUCUUCAUUUCUUCACAGGAGCUGCAUUGUAGCAGUUAUACUAGUGUUUCAAGAGCUUCUUAGGUCUUUUUAUUUUUUUU